rnacentral:rRNA from 1 species
CCAAUACGGGAGGCAGCAGUGAGGAAUAUUGGUCAAUGGGCGAGAGCCUGAACCAGCCAAGUCGCGUGAAGGAUGACUGUCUUAUGGAUUGUAAACUUCUUUUAUACGGGAAUAAAAAAGGGACGUGUCCCUUAUUGUAUGUACCUUCAGAAAAAGGACCGGCUAAUUCCGUGCCAGCAGCCGCGGUAAUUUGG